rnacentral:rRNA from 1 species
AACGAACGCUGGCGGCAUGCCUAACACAUGCAAGUCGAACGAGACCUUCGGGUCUAGUGGCGCACGGGUGCGUAACGCGUGGGAAUCUGCCCUUCGGUUGGGAAUAACUGAUAGAAAUUUCAGCUAAUACCUUAUAAUGUCUUCGGACCAAAGAUUUAUCGCCGAGGGAUGAGCCCGCGUAGGAUUAGGUAGUUGGUGGGGUAAUGGCCUACCAAGCCGACGAUCCUUAGCUGGUCUGAGAGGAUGAUCAGCCACACUGGGACUGAGACACGGCCCAGACUCCUACGGGAGGCAGCAGUGGGGAAUAUUGGACAAUGGGCGAAAGCCUGAUCCAGCAAUGCCGCGUGAGUGAUGAAGGCCUUAGGGUUGUAAAGCUCUUUUACCCGGGAUGAUAAUGACAGUACCGGGAGAAUAAGCGCCGGCUAACUCCGUG